GAUGAACGCUGGCGGCGUGCCUAAUACAUGCAAGUCGAGCGAACAGACGAGGAGCUUGCUCCUCUGACGUUAGCGGCGGACGGGUGAGUAACACGUGGAUAACCUACCUAUAAGACUGGGAUAACUUCGGGAAACCGGAGCUAAUACCGGAUAAUAUAUUGAACCGCAUGGUUCAAUAGUGAAAGACGGUUUUGCUGUCACUUAUAGAUGGAUCCGCGCCGCAUUAGCUAGUUGGUAAGGUAACGGCUUACCAAGGCAACGAUGCGUAGCCGACCUGAGAGGGUGAUCGGCCACACUGGAACUGAGACACGGUCCAGACUCCUACGGGAGGCAGCAGUAGGGAAUAUUCCGCAAUGGGCGAAAGCCUGACGGAGCCACGCCGCGUGAGUGAUGAAGGUCUUCGGAUCGUAAAACUCUGUUAUUAGGGAAGAACAAAUGUGUAAGUAACUAUGCACGUCUUGACGGUACCUAAUCAGAAAGCCACGGCUAACUACGUG
rnacentral:rRNA from 1 species